AACCUCCGCAAUGUGAGAAAUCGCGACGGGGGGAUCCCAAGUGCCAUUCUUAACGGGAUGGCUUUUCAUUAGUGUAAAGAGCUUUUGGAAUAAGAGCUGGGCAAGACCGGUGCCAGCCGCCGCGGUAACACCGGCAGCUCUAGUGGUAACAAUUUUUAUUGGGCCUAAAGCGUCCGUAGCCGGUUUAAUAAGUCUCUGGUGAAAUCCUGUAGCUUAACUGUGGGAAUUGCUGGAGAUACUAUUAGACUUGAGACCGGGAGAGGUUAGAGGUACUCCCAGGGUAGAGGUGAAAUUCUGUAAUCCUGGGAGGACCGCCUGUUGCGAAGGCGUCUAACUGGAACGGUUCUGACGGUGAGGGACGAAAGUUAGGGGCGCGAACCGGAUUAGAUACCCGGGUAGUCCUAACUGUAAACGAUGCGGACUUGGUGUUGGGGUGGCUUUGAGCUGCUCCAGUGCCGAAGGGAGCUGUUAAGUCCGCCGCCUGGGAAGUACGGUCGCAAGACUGAAACUUAAAGGAAAU
rnacentral:rRNA from 1 species